rnacentral:rRNA from 1 species
GAUGAACGCUGGCGGCGUGCCUAAUACAUGCAAGUCGAGCGAACAGACGAGGAGCUUGCUCCUUUGACGUUAGCGGCGGACGGGUGAGUAACACGUAGGUAACCUACCUAUAAGACUGGGAUAACUUCGGGAAACCGGAGCUAAUACAGGAUAAUAUUUCGAACCGCAUGGUUCGAUAGUGAAAGAUGGCUUUGCUAUCACUUAUAGAUGGACCUGCGCCGUAUUAGCUAGUUGGUAAGGUAACGGCUUACCAAGGCGACGAUACGUAGCCGACCUGAGAGGGUGAUCGGCCACACUGGAACUGAGACACGGUCCAGACUCCUACGGGAGGCAGCAGUAGGGAAUCUUCCGCAAUGGGCGAAAGCCUGACGGAGCAACGCCGCGUGAGUGAUGAAGGUCUUCGGAUCGUAAAACUCUGUUAUUAGGGAAGAACAAACGUGUAAGUAACUGUGCACGUCUUGACGGUACCUAAUCAGAAAGCCACGGCUAACUACGUG